rnacentral:rRNA from 1 species
UACGUAGGGAGCAAGCGUUGUCCGGAUUUACUGGGUGUAAAGGGUGCGUAGGCGGCCCUGCAAGUCAGAAGUGAAAUCCAUGGGCUUAACCCGUGAACUGCUUUUGAAACUGUAGGGCUUGAGUGAAGUAGAGGCAGGCGGAAUUCCCGGUGUAGCGGUGAAAUGCGUAGAGAUCGGGAGGAACACCAGUGGCGAAGGCGGCCUGCUGGGCUUUAACUGACGCUGAAGCACGAAAGCGUGGGUAGCAAACGGG